GCUUUGAGAUGAGCCCUCGCUUUUGAAGUCCAAGGCCGGCCUGUCCAGCGCGGGCACAGCCUGGAGGCUGUUCUUCUGCGACAUCUUUUUCGGGAGCUGCAGGGCUUUGCUCUCUGCGGGGGCGACAGGGCCUCUGCCAGGACUUGUUUUAGGAGAAACAGCGGAGGCCUGAUUGCUUUCCUUCAUGGAUUCCCCCAGCCCGGCUUGACACCUUGUGAGCUCUUGAGAGGCUGCCUUGGCGGCUUUGGGCACAUGCUUGCUUUGGGGUUCCAUGGCGGCGCCUGCCGAGCAGCUCUCCGGCAGAGCCAACCUCUUGCUUUCUAACUGGUCUGUCUUUGAGUCUUUGGACCUCUGCUUAGGAGGGGAGAAUGGCCCGUUUUCCAAAGAGGUUAUUCCCCCAGCGGGCAAACACAUCUGUUUUGUAUUCUUAAAGUUCACACUACUGCCCGGUGGGACGCCACUAGGGGCCCUGACACACACACUUCCAUUCCUCAGAAGGCCCUUGGUAGGGUCAGCGUUCACACUGGUUCUAGGUUUAUUGGUCCUUACAGGGUGUGUUUUCUUCUGCACGAGGCUCAAAAUAUACCCAUCCAUUUUCUUACUGGAUGCAGGAUGGGAAGCGGACCACAAACUGCUUGGAGAUGGCAGGGAAUUGUCUGUUUUGGUGGCGUUCAGUUCAGAUCCAAUGCAGAUGUCGCUGGCAUGGCUCCCAAGCCCCUCCUCUUCCCUCAGAGUGUUGCCCGUCAGACAAAGGAGAAACAUUGGGCUCUGCACAGCCACAGCAUGAAGUGGACUGGGGUAGCGAUAUACGUCAUUCCCGUUUUUAGACACAAGAUCACACUGGUAUUUAGGAUUCACAUCUGCAAUGACAUCAAGGGAAUUAAAUUGUGGUGUGGAGGGGGAACUGCACACUGUCCCUGAGGCCUGGUCUUCACAGGGGCCGCCUUUACAUUCCAACCAUCCUAUGAGAUCUGAAAAACAUGUAAAGAUACACUGAAGAAAUGAAUCGGUAGAGCCACUUCGACUCUGGCCAGAGUUUACUAAGGUGAACUGGAUGGAGACAGAAUAGCAAAGGAUCGAGAACUAGUCCACACUGGUUCCUCUGCAAGCUUACAUGAAGCACAUGGAUGACUGAAUGACAGCAAGCACUAUUCAAGAAUUUUGAC
rnacentral:lncRNA from 1 species